UACGUAGGGGGCAAGCGUUGCUCGGAAUUACUGGGCGUAAAGGGCGCGUAGGCGGUCUGUUGCGUCGGGAGUGAAAACUUACAGCUUAACUGUGAGCGUGCUUUCGAUACGGGCAGACUUGAGGCAUUCAGGGGAGAACGGAAUUCCUGGUGUAGCGGUGAAAUGCGCAGAUAUCAGGAGGAACACCGGUGGCGAAGGCGGUUCUCUGGGAAUGUCCUGACGCUGAGGAGCGAAAGUGUGGGGAGCGAACAGG
rnacentral:rRNA from 1 species